rnacentral:rRNA from 1 species
AUUGAACGCUGGCGGCAUGCUUUACGCAUGCAAGUCGAACGGUAACAGGCCUUCGGGUGCUGACGAGUGGCGAACGGGUGAGUAAUGCAUCGGAACGUACCCAGAGGUGGGGGAUAACGCAGCGAAAGCUGUGCUAAUACCGCAUGUGAUCUGAGGAUGAAAGCGGGGGACCGAGCAGCAAUGUUUGGCCUCGCGCCUUUGGAGCGGCCGAUGUCGGAUUAGCUAGUUGGUGGGGUAAAGGCCUACCAAGGCGACGAUCCGUAGCUGGUCUGAGAGGACGACCAGCCACACUGGGACUGAGACACGGCCCAGACUCCUACGGGAGGCAGCAGUGGGGAAUUUUGGACAAUGGGCGCAAGCCUGAUCCAGCAAUGCCGCGUGCGGGAAGAAGGCCUUCGGGUUGUAAACCGCUUUUGGCGGGAACGAAACGGUGUCCGCUAAUACCGGGCGCUAAUGACGGUACCUGCAGAAUAAGCACCGGCUAACUACGUG